rnacentral:rRNA from 1 species
AGAGUUUGAUCAUGGCUCAGGAUGAACGCUGGCGGCGUGCUUAACACAUGCAAGUCGAACGAACCUUCGGGUUAGUGGCGGACGGGUGAGUAACGCGUGAGAAUCUGCCCUCAGGAGGGGGAUAACGGUUGGAAACGACCGCUAAUACCCCAUAUGCCUACUGGUGAAACGAAUUUCGCCUGAGGAUGAGCUCGCGUCUGAUUAGCUAGUUGGUGAGGUAAUGGCUCACCAAGGCUUCGAUCAGUAGCUGGUCUGAGAGGAUGAUCAGCCACACUGGGACUGAGACACGGCCCAGACUCCUACGGGAGGCAGCAGUGGGGAAUUUUCCGCAAUGGGCGAAAGCCUGACGGAGCAACGCCGCGUGAGGGACGAAGGCCUCUGGGCUGUAAACCUCUUUUCUCAAGGAAGAAGAUAUGACGGUACUUGAGGAAUAAGCCACGGCUAAAUCCGUGCCAGCAGCCGCGGUAAUAC